rnacentral:rRNA from 1 species
CCAAUAGCGUAUAUUAAAGUUGUUGCAGUUAAAAAGCUCGUAGUUGAAUUUCGGGGUUCUACCGUUGGUCGGGCUUUGUCUGUACUGGCGUGUAGAAUUUCUACCUUCUGGGGAACCAUUAUGUUAUUAAUUUAGCGUAGUGGGAAACCAGGACCUUUACCUUGAAAAAAUUAGAGUGUUCAAAGCAGGCUUAUGUCUGAAUACAUUAGCAUGGAAUAAUAGAAUAGGACGGUGGUCCUGUUUUGUUGGUUUCUGAAUCACCGUAAUGAUUAAUAGGGAUAGUUUGGGGCAUUAGUAUUCAAUUGUCAGAGGUGAAAUUCUUGGAUUUAUUGAAGACUAACUUCUGCGAAAGCAUUUGCCAAGGAUGUUUUCAUUAAUCAAGAACGAAAGUUAGGGGAUCGAAGACGAUCAGAUACCGUCGUAGUCUUAACCAUAAACUAUGCCGACUAGGGAUCGGACGAUGUUAAUUUUUCUUGACUCGUUCGGCGCCUUACG